GCCAUCUUUGCUGGGGGCAAUUCUUUUUCGGGGGGGGUUUAAAAUAAACCUCUUUAAAUAACCCGUUUAAAUAAACUGUUUAAAUAAAUCCCUCGCCCUACGCGUCUGUGCAGCGCCCUGCGGGUCUUCUUGGUGCGUGAGGCGCCGCCAGAGGGCACGAGGGAGGUGGUGAAGCAUCUCGCGCGCCCUGUUCGGGGGCAUCACGGUGGCCCCGGCCCCUCAGGUGACACCCGCACACACACACCUGGGUGGGCCCAGGCACCUCCCCAGAGGUGACUUCUCCUGCCAGCCCAGCUCGACAUCAGCGAGGAAAAGCCACAUCCAGCAGCCGAGGCUUCCCCAGUAACACUAGAUGGUACCAGAGCUCCACACAGGACUCCAAAAAACCUUGGAAUUCUGAACCCGGGAAAGCUGGAGAUGCGAAGCCGCAUCUCUUGGCGUGCUGCUGGCACAGGGAACGGCGUUCGCGCGGGGGAAAAGCCGCUAGGGCAGUUGGGAAUAAAAUAAGGACAUUUUUUCUGGUGUUCA